GAUGAACGUUGGCGGUGUGCCUAAUACAUGCAAGUCGAACGGAGUCAGUAGCAAUAUUGGCUCAGUGGCGAACGGGUGAGUAACGCGUUGGUGAUCUGCCUUGAAGUGUGGAAUAACGUUUCGAAAGAGACGCUAAUACCGCAUGUGCUCUCGAUUUUCAGAAAGUUGAGAGUAAAGGAUUUAUUCGCUUCAAGAGGAGCCUGCGUCCCAUCAGCUGGUUGGUAGGGUAACGGCCUACCAAGGCUAUGACGGGUAGGGGACCUGAGAGGGUGGCCCCCCACAAUGGAACUGAAACACGGUCCAUACACCUACGGGUGGCAGCAGUAGGGAAUAUUAGAAAUGGACGAAAGUCUGAUCUAGCAACACCGCGUGUGCGAAGAAGGCCUUCGGGUCGUAAAGCACUUUUUGGAAGGAAUAGGAAGGAAUGUACUUCCAGAAUAAGUCUCGGCUAACUACGUG
rnacentral:rRNA from 1 species